rnacentral:lncRNA from 1 species
CUCUCAUCGGCCUUCCUCCUCGUCAUCCUAUGUUCCGCCGCCUUCUUCCUCUGGCCCUCCGACCCCCAGCUAACCGUCGCCCGCCUCCGGUUCGACGACCUCCGCGUCACCCCGCCCCCCUUCGCUACCAUUGACGUCGUCCUUAGCGUCGACCUCAUGGUCCGUAACCCGGACUUUUUCUCUCUCGACUACCGCUCCAUCGUGGUCUCGAUCGGGUACCGCGGGAGGCCGCUCGGCUCCGUCACGGCUGACG